AAGACCAAAUUCCGGCAGCUUCCUGACUGUUGGUUUCAAGCAGGAGCCUACAGAGACCUCUUUCCAUGGUCUGUUGGCCAUUUCAGAACUUGGCCAAUGAAAUGGUCAAUUCAUUAGAAAGAAAUAGGU
ensembl:snoRNA